rnacentral:rRNA from 1 species
UUGGAGGGCAAGUCUGGUGCCAGCAGCCGCGGUAAUUCCAGCUCCAAUAGCGUAUAUUAAAGUUGUUGCAGUUAAAAAGCUCGUAGUUGAAUUUCGGAAUCCAUCCGUCGGUCGGGCUUCACGGUCCGCACUGGCGUGAUGGAUUCCUACCUUCUGAAUAACCAGCAUGCUAUUAAUUUGGUGCGUUGGGGAAGCAGGACUGUUACCUUGAAAAAAUUAGAGUGCUUAAAGCAGGCUAGUGCCUGAAUACAUUAGCAUGGAAUAAUGAAAUAGGACGGCAUGGUUCUAUUUUGUUGGUUUCUAGGAUCACCGUAAUGAUUAAUAGGGAUAGUUGGGGGCAUUAGUAUUCAAUUGUCAGAGGUGAAAUUCUUGGAUUUAUUGAAGACUAACUUCUGCGAAAGCAUUUGCCAAGGAUGUUUUCAUCAAUCAAGAACGAAAGUUAGGGGAUCGAAGACGAUCAGAUACCGUCGUAGUCUUAACCAUAAACUAUGCCGACUAGGGAUCGGACGAUGUUAAUUUUUUAAUGACUCGUUCGGCGCCUUACGGGAAAC